GGAGAGAUGGCUGAGUGGUCGAAAGCGCUCGCCUCGAAAGCGAGUGGGCGGGUAGCCCCUGCCCCGUGAGUUCGAAUCUCACUCUCUCCGCCA
rnacentral:tRNA from 1 species